rnacentral:rRNA from 1 species
AUUGAACGCUGGCGGCAGGCCUAACACAUGCAAGUCGAGCGAGCGGCGGACGGGUGAGUAAUGUCUGGGAAACUGCCUGAUGGAGGGGGAUAACUACUGGAAACGGUAGCUAAUACCGCAUACCAUCAGAUGUGCCCAGAUGGGAUUAGCUAGUAGGUGGGGUAACGGCUCACCUAGGCGACGAUCCCGCGCUGGUCUGAGAGGAUGACCAGCCACCCUGUAAUUGAGAUGCGGUCCAUACUCCUACGGUAGGCAGCAGUGGGGGAUAUUGCACAAUGGGCGCAAGCCUGAUGCAGCCAUGCCGCGUGUGUGAAGAAGGCCUUCGGGUUGUAAAGCACUUUCAGCGGGGAGGCGUUACCCGCAGAAGAAGUACCGGCUAACUCCGUGCCAGCCGCCGCGGUAAUUC